rnacentral:lncRNA from 1 species
UCCGGUUCUGUAUUUUCCUUGGUUUCAGGCAUCCACUGGGGGUGUUGAAACAGAUGCCCCACCAGGAAGGCGAGGCUACUGUAAUAGCUUAUUUUUGUUAUUUUUAAAUGAAUUAUUUUUAAAAUUUCCCAGUUUUGAUUUCAAGUACAAUACGUAUCAAUAGAUAAAGCUGAUAAGGCCCACACAAAUAAAAGUUCUUUGGGGGCCAGGAGCCGUAUUGGUUAUCUCUUAAACAGAAUACAAUUGAUCCUUGACCGCUGCAGGCAUUAUGGUGCUGAAACCCUGUGCAGUUGAAAAUCCACAUAUAACUUUUAACUCCCCUAAAACUUAACUACUAAUGGCUUCAAGACUCAAAGAAGCAGUUAGAGUCAGUUACUUAUAACCUAAGUAAGACAAAGAAUAGUAAGCUGCAAAGAUGUGAUAAAGCAAAGGGGAUUGUGGUAGGAAAUUUAACUGGGUGGAGAAACUGCUAGGAAGAUAAAGUUUAGUUUAACAAGGCUUGUUUGUACAAAAUUCUUUCUGCCUCAAUUUUCUCAUCCUUGAUGAUAAGAAUGUUGCUUUUUCUUUAGCGUAGGGAGGACAAAUUUCAGUGGGAAUUUCUUCUUCUGCUUUUAAGAAACAGCAAAAAAGUCAGAGUGAUUGUUUUGCACCUGCCAUUUUGAAAGUGCCUUUAAUGUAAGUAGUAAAUAUGCCAGAGUGGUAUGUUUGUCACUCCUUCAUCCUCAAGGUUCAUCCAUGUUGUAGCAUGUGACAAGAUUUUCUUCUUUUUACAGGCUGAAUAGUGUUACCUUGUACAUAUAUGCCACGUUUUAAAAUCCAUUCAUCCAACAAUGGACACUAGGUUGCUUCCACCUGUUGGCUAUUGUGAAUAAUGCUGCUAUUAACAUUGGCGUGCAACUAUCUCUUCGAGACCCUGCUUUCAUUUCUUUUUGAAUAUUUAUGCAGAAGUGAGAUUGCUGGAUUCUAUUUUUCACUUUUUGAAAAACCCUCAUACUCUUUCCUACAGUGGUUGCACCAUUUUAUAAUCCCAACAGCAGCACACAGCUUCCAUCUUCUCCACGUCCCCACCAACACUUGUCAUUUUCUUUCUUUCUUUCUUUUUUUGGUAUUAGCCAUCCUAAUGAGUGUGAGAUGAUAGCUGGUGCUUUCUAUUGCAAUUCUGUGAUGAUUAGUGAUGUUGAAUAUCUUCUCAUGUGCUUGUUGGCCAUUUUUGUAUCAUCUUUGGAAAACUGUUGAUUCAAGUCUUGCCUGUUGUUUAACAAGUUUAUUUGAUUUUUUUGUUGUUGUUGAGUUGCAGCAGUUCUUUUCAUAUUCUGGGUAUUAACCCCUUAUCAAAUAUAUGAUUUAUAAGUACUUUUUCCCAUUCUAGGUUUCCUUUUCACUCUGUUGAUUGUGUCUUUUGAUUCAUGAAAUUUUUUGUUCAAUGUAGUCUCAUUUGUCUAUUGUUACAAUUGUGGCUUGUGUUUUUGGUGUCAUAUCUAAGAAAUUAUUUCCAAAUCCAAUGUGAUGAAGCUUUUGCCUUAUGCUUUUUUCUAGGUG